UUCGUAUCCUUGGAAGGUAUCUUGGCAUUCCGUAGCCGCACCUUCACCUUGGUCACUCUGCUGGAAGCCCAGAGUCAUUUUUGUUUGUAAAUUCGUACACGUGAUGUAAAGUACUAAGAUGUAGGCCUUAGACCAUAUAUGUAUAUUUUGAUUGGUAAAGCCACCAUGAGUGGCAAUAGUUAAUGUUAUUUUGGGCUAACAUAAAUGCAGU
rnacentral:lncRNA from 1 species